GCAUGCUCAAAGCCUGCUUGUGUUCAUUUAGCACAUGCAUCAGCUUGUAAAGUAUCUUUAGCUUUCAUGUGAUUGUUCCAGGAACAGAUGUGCCUGCCAAGCUGGGCCAAGAAAAUGUGCAGUGAGGUUACAAAGAAGAAAAGCUUUAAUUUGCUUGGGUGCAUCUCUAAUUUAACUGCCGACACACUUCAGUCCUGGAGUGGACUUUGUACAUGAAAACUGUGCUGCCAAAAACUGCUGCCUGUUUCUUCUGAGAGUAAAGAUGGACUUCUGGUUGAAACCCAGGCCUUGGGUGUCAGAUGAACUGUGUGUUAUUCCCGGCUUUAUGGCUAUCUUCCUGUGCAAUCUUGAAUAAAUAUCACCUCUCUGUGCUUCAUAUAAUAACUGUCUCACAGAGAUGUCAUAUAGCUAAGUUAAUCAGUACCUGGAAAGU